rnacentral:lncRNA from 1 species
AGUUUACUCCCGGGGAUGUCUCUAGCAGGAGCCCCGAAACCUCGCUCCCGCCAGCCUGCCCCGCCCCCUGCGCCGCGUCGAGGAGCGCUCACCCCGGCUUCACUCCUGCUCUCGGGGUUCACCUGCCUCCUCUGGAGUCCUCUUCGUCCCGCGACUCCUCUCAAUUUUGCGACCUCCUCUCCUCAAGGUGCCUCUUUGCAGCUCUAGACUUUGCUCCACGCGCGUCCGCAGAAGCCAUUUCAAAAUGAAAGAAGACUGUUUUCACCUGGACCCAACAAAUGUUCAGGAAGCCUGUUCCAGCUGCUGGAGACGAAGAAGGAAAGUGAAGGUACUAAUGGCAUACCCAUGCCGUCUCCAAGGUGAGAGACAGAGAAAAUGCAAAAGAGAAAAUUCAGAGGUGGAAGAUUAAUCUUAGACAUGGCACAGGAUUUUCUACGGAGUCCUACUAAAAGACAGGCAAAUAUCUUCAUGUGAUUAAUUCCAUGUAAUGAAUUACAAGAAUUCUUCAUGAAUUAACCUCUGCUCCACAUUCCUUCUGCAACACAUACUAGCACAUCCUCACAGCACACUGAUACCUGGGGCCCGGCUCAGAAAAACAGAUCAAGUUGAAAGCCUGGCUCUGUUCCUUCCAUCUGUAUGAAUCUGAGCAAGUGACAAUGUGGUGCAGUAAUCAUAGUGCUGACCUUGGUGGUUUGUUGAGAUGAAUGAAGCAAUGUGUUUAGCACAGAGGCAGAAACAAAGUAUACAUUCAGUAAAUAUCAGGGAUUACUUCCGUGGUUGUUAUCACUAUUACUAUUAUCUUUCAGUCACGGUGUACUCAAAGGAAAUUUAACACCUCUUAAGUCAUAACCCCUGCAGUAGGGGAGAAAGAAAAGCAGGUGGUAGGAAAAGGAGAACAGUGGUCAACGGAGACUUUAAAUAGAUUCUAGCCUGCUUCAUUAAUCGAGUCUAGAUUUUUAUCCCCAAGUCUAGCAAGGUGCCCGGUUCUUGUUAGGUGUUCAAUAAGCAUUUGCUGGAUUGGAUUAAUCCAGUUUAGCCUCUCACCAUUUAUAUAACCUCUCUCUCAGCUAUCAAAGGUGUGGGGGUUUUUUUGUUGUUUUUUUUGUUGUUGUUGUUGUUGUUGUUUUUUGGUCUUUUUAGGGCCGCACCAGAGGCAUAUGGAGGUUCCCAGGCUAGGGGUCGAAUCAGAGCUGUAACCCCUGGCCUAUGCUACAGCCACAGCAGCACCAGAUCCGAGCCACAUCUGUGACCUACAUCACAGCUCAUGGCAACAUCAGAUCCUUAACCCACUGAGCGAGGCCAGGGAUUGAGCCCUGUGUCCUCAUGGAUGCUAGUCAGAUUCGUUUCUGCUGAGCCACGAUGGGAACUUAUAUCAACUUGUUUUUUAAUACAACUUUUCCCACUUGCCAGCCAUGGGAUGAAGAGAAAUGUAACUGAUAAUCUGAGUUUCUGAGUCAUCAUGUAUCAAUUGAUUAUGAUUCUAGAAUCAUGGGUUGAAAUGCAAAUUGAACAAGGUAAUGUACUUGGAAUUUUCUAUGUGUUCAGUGAUGUCCUCUGAUACUAUUGUUACACAAAGCAUGGCAGAAACACAGUGAUGUCCCCAGGAAGUGAACUUACACAGCCUGAGAUGCUAGCUCUCCAAAGAUUUUAGUAAGAAAUGUUUUAUAUAUUAUCCACUGACCUUCGUAUUUAACAGAUAAUUGCAGGGGCCGCUGUGCAAUUCCAAUUUUGGAGAUAUCAGGAGUUUUUUUCUUUUUCUUUUCUUUUUCUUAUUUUUAGCAAGUGCCUUUUCUUUUUUUCUUUUUUUUUUUUAAGCUGUUAAAUAACCACAGAACAAACUAAGCAUCUUAUUGGAGGGACUUCCAUGGAGAAUCUUGUCCCCAGGGCAGCAUUUUACAGGCACUUAUGGGAAUUCUAGAACUGUUGCUAGAUGAAUUGUAUGUCACAGCCCUGGGUCUGUCUGCAGGGGCGGCAGGUGACAAGACCCCAUGCAGAUGACAAAUAUCUCCAUGUCCACUCAGAACACAUUGCUCCAAAGUUUGAUGUUCAUAAGCUGCGUCACACCAGACUGAUUACAACCCUAAGUGCCCAGGGCAGCACAAAGACCCAAAACUGAUCAUGGAGCAGCUACACAACCAUGCUGUCAGCUUGGCCAUCCUCAAGUGUUCUGCAGGGUGGCAGAGCCAUGUGGCUGAGAUCUGACAUCCCAGUGCCUGGCCAGGUCCAGGACAGCAUGCCCGCUUCCUCCCUCAUGCUGACCUCCUAGGGCAGCUCCUAAUCAGAAUUAGAUGGUUCUUCCAGCCACACAAUGGUGUGCCCUUAAUUUAUGCUGUUUUUCUGUGUUACAUUGACUAGUUUGGGGUCCUACUAGUUGUUUGUUGCUCAGAUUCCCACUCCCCCAAGAAACCUGUGGCAUCAACACAGAUGUGAAUGCCUUACAUGUAAUACCAGUGAGCGCGACCAACCCUGUCACCAGCCCUCAUGGCCAAGGUCAUCUCGAGAAGGUAAGGAGGGUUCAGUUUUAGAGGAUGAUUAAAUAAUGGUACAUCACCGGAGUUCCCGUCGUGGUGCAGUGGUUAACGAAUCUGACUAGGAACCAUGAGGUUUCGGGUUCGAUCCUUGGCCUUGCUCAGUGGGUUAAGGCUCUGGCGUUGCUGUGAGCUGUGGUGUAGGUUGCAGACUUGGCUCGGAUCCCAUGUUGCUGUGGCUCUGGUGUAGGCCAGUGGCUACAGCUCCAGUUUGACCCCUAGCCUGGGAACCUCCAUAUGCUGCGGGAGUGGCCC